UUCCCUAAAAUAUUUCACCAUUUUCAGGCAACUAUGAGUUCCUCCACCCAUUUACCAUGUAACGAACCAUCCGCCGACACGCAAGCAUGUAUACUCCGGCUAGGGUUGUCCAAAAAACUCACAGCUCGGAGCUCGCUCAAAACUCGCUCAGAUUUAGCUCAGAAAAAGCUCACUCGAUAUGGCUCGGUUUGAAACUGAGUCGAACUGGCUAGACUCGGUUAGAAAGUGAGCCUAGCUCAGCUCGAUUCGUAACGAGCAGGAUUUGAUCGGUUUGGUUCACUCGUUAGCUUGGCUCGGUUUAGCUCGAAUUAUUUUACUAUUAAUACAUUUUAUUUUUAUAUUCAUACAAUAUAUUACAAAACAACUGGUUAUUUUUUGCAUGUCGUUUUAGUGCAAUUGCAUAUUUAUGGUAUAUUUGGGGGUUGAUUACCAUGCUAAUGAACUUACACUGUAUUUCAUUGAAAUUUGAAACUUGUCUUGUGUUUGGAUAAACUUGAUUUUGGUUUGUAAUGUAUUACGUUGAACUUAUUUUGGAUAUGUACUUUUGAACUAUUUAAAAAUAUUUUUGACUAUUUAAUUUUGGAAGCUACGUAUUAAAUGUUAUUUUUAAAAUCGAGCCAAACAAGCCAAGCCGAGCUUGAACUUAGAUUUUCAGCUCGGUUUCAAUUCUGAGCUGAGCCCAAGCUUGCCCAGGAUCGGCUUUGUUUAUAAUCGAGCCUUACUUGUAUCAUUGCGAAAUAUGAUAUAUAGCCGAUUUACAUGAAUUGUUAACAAUGAUAAGGUUACACUAUUGUUGAUAGAAUAAAGACUUAUUUCUAAGGUUUAAUAUUAUAUCGGUUCGAAAGUUACCCGGAAUUCUAGACUCCAAACGCCAUUCAUUGAGGUCAUCUCUUAACACGUAGAGGGAAAUUCUUAUUAGCCUGCAUGCCCUUGUUUCUGAAUUAACAAACAUGUCCAUCACCAUCAUGUAACCAUCCAUGGUGUGUAUAGAGGUAGAAUCAGGUUAAGCAUAAAAUUCUCAUCACUAGGCUCUUGUUCGGGUAAUGGUGUGUGGUCUUCUAAUGAAGGUUGCAUGUAUACAUAACUCGUGACUCGGGCUCUUAAUAAUAAGAGGAAGCAAUUGGGUCAAAAAAUAAAAUGAAGAACCAUUCUCCUGGGAUCAAGGAUUUCAUUUGGUGUUAGCUGAGCAACUAAAUUGGCCAUGAGUAGUUGAUGUUUAAUGGCUAGAAGAUGAGACAAGUGCCUCCAAAGGCUAAUAGGAUUACCUAGAAAAAUAACAAACUCCAAAAUAUAAUGACGGUCAUUCCCAUGUAUUCAUAAACUCUAACAAACCUUCUUAUGGGGCAAAAAUUUGACACAUGCCCAUCAGCUAAAACAAGCAUCUUGGGAAACUCAAUGAUGUGGACCUUCAUUCAAGUCCACGUAUAAACACCUUGGAUCAAUUAUGUGAUCGUUUUACUUGUUGAUACAAAUGUUUUAUGAGCCACCUCAUGCGCGUGGUUUUGUUGUACAUCCACCAAAAGGAUCCUCUUGUCAAGUAGUUCACCUAUUCAAGACAAAGUAUGCCUCAUGAUAGUUGGGCUUGAAGAACAAAAUGCCAACCGCAAGAUGUUUCUAUAAGGAUCCUAAAAAAUAUUGCAAUUAGUUUGUAUUUUGUCACUUACUAAUUACACUCUUAUAUUGGUUAUAGGAGACCGGUUUCUCAAACUCAUAAUACGCUUCCUAGGAGACCUUAUGCAUUUUUAAGAGUUGUAAAAUGGAAAAGUUUGAACAAGCUUUUUUAGAUACCAUGCCUUUUGCUC